rnacentral:rRNA from 1 species
CAGCAGCCGCGGUCAUACGUAGGUGCAAGCAUUAUCCGGAGUGACUGGGCGUAAAGAGUUGCGUAGGUGGUUUGUUAAGUAAUAGUGAAAGCUGGCGGCUCAACCGUACAGACUAUUAUCUAAACUGGCAAACUCGAGAAUGUAGAGGUCACUGGAAUUUCUUGUGUAGGAGUGAAAUCCGUAGAUAUAAGAAGGAACACCAUGGCGUAGGCAGGUGACUGGACCAUUUCUGACACUGAGGCACGAAAGCGUGGGGAGCGACGGGAUUAGAUACCCCGGUAGUCCACGCCGUAAACUAUGGAUACUAGCUGUAGGAGGUAUGACCCCUUCUGUAGCGAAGCUAACGCGUUAAGUAUCCCGCCUGUGGAGUACGGUCGCAAGCUAAAACAUAAAGGAAUUGACGGGGACCCGCACAAGCGGUGGAUUGUGUUCUUUAAUUCGUGAUAAACGAUGAACCUUACCAGGGCUUGACAUCCCUUAAAUUUUGCCGAAAGGCGAGAGGCUUUAUUGAAUAAGGUGACAGGUGAUGCAUGGCCGUCGUCAGCUCGUGUCGUGAGAUGUUGGUUAAGUCCAUCAACGAGCGCAACCCUUGUGAAUAGUUGUAUUUUUCUAUUCAGACUGCCAGGCAACGGGGAGGAAGGAGGGGAUGAUGUCAGGUCAGUAUUUCCCUUACGUCCUGGGUAGAAACGCAAUACAAUGGCCAGUACAAUGUGCAGCGAAGCCGCGAGGUGAAGCAAAUCAAUCAAAGCUGGUCCCAGUUCGGAUAAGAGGCUGAAACUCGCCUCUUUGAAGUCGGAAUCGUAGUAAUCGCAGAUCAGCAAGCUGCGGUGAAUACGUUCCCGGGUCUUGUACACACCGCCCU